GACGAACGCUGGCGGCGUGCUUAACACAUGCAAGUCGAACGGAAAGGCCCUGCUUUUGUGGGGUGCUCGAGUGGCGAACGGGUGAGUAACACGUGAGUAACCUGCCCUUGACUUUGGGAUAACUUCAGGAAACUGGGGCUAAUACCGGAUAGGAGCUCCUGCUGCAUGGUGGGGGUUGGAAAGUUUCGGCGGUUGGGGAUGGACUCGCGGCUUAUCGGCUUGUUGGUGGGGUAGUGGCUGACCAAGGAUUUGACGGGUAGCCGGCCUGAGAGGGUGACCGGCGACAUUGGGACUGAGAGAGGGCCCAGACGCCUACGGGAGGCAGCAGUGGGGAAUAUUGCACAAUGGGCGGAAGCCUGAGGCAGCAACGCCGCGUGCGGGAUGACGGCCUUCGGGUUGUAAACCGCUUUCGCCUGUGACGAAGCGUGAGUGACGGUAAUGGGUAAAGAAGCACCGGCUAACUACGUG
rnacentral:rRNA from 1 species